UUAAUUUUAGUCAUAUAAGUUUUAUAGUUAUUAAUUAAUCACUGGAAUGUAUGCUAUUGUGGUUUUUGACAACGAGAUGAAAACUGAAUACAUUCCUUUCAAUUGGAUAAUCAAUAAAAUUGAACUUCAAGAAGUUUCAAUGUUGGUUAGGCAGCGUAUAGAAUUAAAAUACUACUGGCCUCCAUGGUCAAAUUCAGGCAAAGUCAGUAGAGCACAAAACCAAUGCUCUGAACCUGAAAUAGAUUGGAAAACAUACUCUAUUCUAUUGUUAGCAGUUGCAGGUAAUGAGAAAGAAGCCUGUGAAAAGGUGACAAUUGCAGAAGAGACCUCUAAUGUCGAAGAGAACUUUACUAAGCAAAAAAGAAAAGUCAAAGAAGAUUUAAUUGAAAGUACUGAUUCAAAAAGUAAAUACAGCAAUAGGUAAGAAAGAAAAAAAAGAUAUCUGAAAAGCUUCCUAAGCCUGUAAUACCAGAGAGACAGUCGGGGGUUUGUCAUUUUGAGAUUGAAAACAGGGGAUUGUUAACUCCUGUGGUACGCACAGAAUUGUCAGUUAGAAAGUGUUGUAAAGUCAAAAGAUAUGUCUGGUCUUCCUGGUAACACUAGUACUCUAUUGUUAAAAACGUUUGGUUACACUACAUCUGGUAAGAUACUAAUUUAACAAAAUACAUCACCAACAUUUUUCCUUCUACUUAUUUUUUAAAAGUAUAUGACAAUAUGAUGUCAAUCAAAAGUAAAUCAAAAUAGUAUCCAAUAGUGUGAAGCGAUUUUAAAAAUUUUUGAAAUUUGAUUUGCCUGAGCUGAGAAUCUAUGUCUUUUGGUGAAAAAAGAACCUUACUUUUUUUGUAAUUUUAAUUAGUUUAUUUUUUUUUUUUUUAGUAUUUGCUUUAGGUGCCCUAAGAAGUCCUUUAUGGUCUUAUCACAGAGCACAGCGGAGAAGAGCAUUUAAUAGAAAGUUCACGCCUCCUUUAUAACCGAUGUAAAAAAACUUGUCCAGAGGUGGGUUUCGAACCUGGGAUCUCUAAACUCUGAGACAAGCGCGCUAACCACUGCGCUACACUGCUGCAAGUUUUUAUUAUAUUACUUUGUUAAGUUACUUUGAGAUUCCUCUUUUUUUCUUCUAAACUAUAUCAACUUAGUACUCAAAAGAAAUUGCUGGUUUUGAAUAUAUAUACAAUAUUAUAUACAUAUAAAUGUGUACACAAUAGCAUUUGUUUUUAUUUAAAACUAAAGGAAAAAAAAAUAGUUUUGUCUUUUUCAAAAAAAAAAAACGUCUUCAACGAAACAGGGGUUUCAAGUAUAUUUUGGAAAUAUUUUAUGAACUCUUUUUUUUUAAACCAAGUAAUUAUUUAUAACACAAUCAUUUUUCUUUUUGUUUUGAGUACAAAGUUAUGGUUUAUGGAAAAAAAAAUCAAAAAUAUUAGGACCCGAAUUCCUAGAAUUUAGAAUCCAAGGAGGAACCUUAAAAUCUUGUCAUAAUUGGAAAGUAUUUGUUUACUUUUUACUUAUAAUUAAUAAAGAUCGAUUCGCGUCUCAGGAAUGUUUAUUUUUAAACUCUUUUUUUUGCUGUGAAAAUUGCUCCACCCUAGUAUCGAAUACCACUUUGUUUGAGUUAUUAAUUUUUUUUUAUAUUGGUUUUUAAUAAUUGCUUCAUUUAAAUUAUAAGCAGAAAAAUUGUUGUUGAAAAUUUUGGCAGCUCAAGAAAAAAUAAGAGAGACGCAAAAGUUGCAUUCAGCUAUGUUGCACAGCAUUCAGCAACAAAUUAAUUCAACGCAUGGCAUUACAGAGGAUGAAAUUGAAUUAAACUUACCACUUAAAACAACUGAAGAUGUCGAAGCUUUUGAAGAUAGGUUGAAAGAUGAAUAUUUGAAAAAAAAAAUUGGUUCAGGUCCUUGUAAAUAAUGGUGGUAUGAAUAUAACAAAUUUUGUAAGAAGGAAUAUGAAAUUUUUAUUUUCUAAUGAACUGGCACGAAAAUAUAACCUAACUGGUCAGAAAAAUAAAAAACCAUUUCAGCCAUUGCAGCUAUUUCAAAUAAUGUUUUGUACAGCAAAAAGAAACUAUGAAACAAAACAAAAUUUAUCAAAAAAGCUUCUUGAAGAAGCACUUUCCGCUUGGUUUGGUAAUGCUCGAGAUAGAAGUAAAGACAGCCGAAAAGAGAGAAAUUCAAAUGCAGCAAACACGGAAAACAACAUAUAGAAUGUUUAAUAUACAUUGUAUAUAUAUCGAAUGCAGCAACGAACACACAUAUAUAUAUAUUGAUUACAUAUUUAAUAAUAGUUUAUUUUAUUUAAUAAAACAUACAUGCGCAUAAUGAAAAAUUUAAUGAAAAAAUUGCUUUAAACAAGUAAUCGUUAAAUAAAAGUAUAAAAAUCACAGUUAUAAAUAAUACAAAAUACAUUCGGGGAAAAUCUGGGAUCAAUGCGGGAGAAAUGAAAAAGCAGGCGAUCGAUUUUCGUUUUUUUUUAUUUAGCCCGUAUGGUUCCGAUGUAAAUCCCGCAUCCAAAUCCCGCACGGUUCCCGUUUGACAUCCCGGAUGGUUCCCGUAUGGUUGUGCUUGCUGGGUUGUCAGUCGAUGUAGCAGCACUCCCUUGCGAGUCAGGCUAUUUGACUGUCGAUGUAGCAGCACUCCGUUGCAAGUCAGGCUAUAAGAUAGUCGAUGUAGCAACACUUACACAUAUUU